rnacentral:ncRNA from 2 species
CCACCGUUUGCGGGAGAGAGCAGCAAAGCUGCCGCCGAAGGGGAAAUCGCCCGAAAUCUCUCAGGCAAAAGAACCGUUGACGGCAA